AUCGUCAUGCCCCUCGGGACAUUCGUCCGAUGGGAACAGUCCAGGAGAUAGUCAUGGAUACCGGUACCGUAAAGUGGUUUAACGAUUCGAAGGGCUUCGGCUUCAUUACGCCGGACGCCGGCGGCGACGAUCUGUUCGCGCAUUUUUCCGAAAUUCAGGGCAGCGGCUUCAAGUCGCUGCAGGAAGGACAGAAGGUGCGCUUCGUGCGCGGCGUCGGCCAGAAGGGCCCGGCCGCCACGAAGAUCGAAGCGAUCUGACGCUAGCCACGAAAACCCCGCACCUGCGGGGUUUUUUAUU
rnacentral:sRNA from 1 species